GCUGGCGUAGCUCAGUAGGCAGAGCACCUCCAUGGUAAGGAGGGGGUCGGCGGUUCGAUUCCGCCCGCCAGCU
rnacentral:tRNA from 1 species